rnacentral:snoRNA from 1 species
GUUGCUGCUGUUGCUGCUGCAGCAGCAGCAGCUGCUGCUGCUGCAGCAGAAGGCAGCAGGGGGAGUGGAGACCCUCUCGGUGUCUGCUGCAGAGUGGUAGUUUCAAACC